GGAAUCAGCCGCAAUGGGGUAGCUCGGUGCCGGCAGCUCCCCAUGCUGUCUGCAAAGGUCUGGUAAAGCAAGAAAGGCCCGAAAGGCAGAUGUUGAGGAUAAGUAAGGCGCUUAGAAGGUGGAAGUGCCCAGUCAGAGGCCAGCUUCUCAAAGGGACGGCAGCCCAAUAGCUAGGAGCAGGGAGGUCUGACCCUGGAGUGCUCCAAAGGAAGGUCUCAAGCUCACAGGCAGCCUCUUCAGAAAUAAGGAGAAGGUGUUCGGGGCACAAGAGCCACUCCAUGCAGCGUCCAUCUCUACAGCUACAAAACCCGGAGCUAAACACCAUUUAGACUGCUGUCACUGAGUUUGCCUGAGUCACUCACAGAGCCCCAGGCUGUGGCAACCUGUAAGAAAAUCUGGAUGAUGCUUCAGCAGGUUCUGGAGAACUCUGACCACCCCCUUCUUUUACUGCCUAUGUCAACUCAGGGGACUUGGGCAUGACUAGUAGCAGAGAUCAGUGGUUCCACGCCCGUAUGGCAAGAGGUAAUCUUUCUGGGGCAGGUGACUAUGACUUGGUUUUUUCCUUCUUUUUUUAAAUUAAUUAAUUAAUUAGUUAAUUUUUGCUGAGGAAGAUUCACCCUGAGCUAACAUCUGCUACCAAUGUUCUUCUUUUUGUACGUGACGCACCACCACAGCAUGGCCCCUGACAGACGAGUGAUGUAGGUUAGCACCACCACAGCAUGGCCCCUGACAGACGAGUGAUGUAGGUUAGCACCUGGGAACUGAACCCAGGCCACCAAAUUGGAGUGUGCCAAACUUAACCACUAGGCCACUACAGCUGGCCCUGGUUUCUUUCCUUAUUUGUACGCAAGUCUGGAUGUUUAAAGAUGUAGCAUGAUUGAGGUGAUUUGAGUAAACCAAGCCCUGCUCAUUUAAUGUCCACAGACACCAUGGUAAAUAACCCAAGCCUCAAAGUCUACUUUUACAGGAAGUCAUUUCUGGGGGCAGCUCCAGAGCUGACAGAUCUAAGAUAUGACCACUACGAUAUCAGCUCCUUCCUCACAUUGUCGCCUUAGACAGAGUGUGGGAGCUAAGAGAACUUGUCUGCAAGCACAGGUGAGACUCGCCCAGGAGACUCUGAGAGAGAAGCAGGAAGAUGGAGAGGAGCUGGAGAUCAUGCACCAGCUGGUGAAAGUGAGGGCUUAAGAAAUGGUUUAUUACUCUUUUUUUUUUUUGAGGAAGAUUAGCCCUCAGCUAACAUCUGCUGCCAAUCCUCCUCUUUUUGCUGAGGAAGACUAGCCCUGAGCUAACACCUGUGCCCAUCUUCCUCCACUUUAUAUCUGGGAAGCCUGCCACACAUGGCUUAACAAGCAGUGUGUAGGUCCACACCAGGGAUCUGAACCAGUGAACCUCAAGCCACCAAAGUGGAAUGUGUGAACUUAACUGCUGUGCCACUGGGCCGGCCCCUUACUGCUC
rnacentral:lncRNA from 1 species